UAGUCUUUACGAUACAUAUGA
rnacentral:piRNA from 1 species